UACGGAGGGUGCAAGCGUUAAUCGGAAUUACUGGGCGCAAAGCGCACGCAGGUGGCUGAGUCAGUCGAUUGUGAAAGCCCCGGGCUCAACCUGGGAAUUGCAUUCGAGACUGCAUGGCUAGGAUGCGGAAGAGGGAAGCGGAAUUUCCGGUGUAGCGGUGAAAUGCGUAGAUAUCGGAAGGAACACCAGUGGCGAAAGCGGCUUCCUGGUCCAGCAUCGACGUUCAGGCACGAAAGCGUGGGGAGCAAACAGG
rnacentral:rRNA from 1 species